rnacentral:rRNA from 1 species
GACGUAGGGGGCGAGCGUUGUCCGGAUUUAUUGGGCGUAAAGCGCGCGUAGGCGGCCGCUCAAGUCGGGUGUGAAAACCCGGGGCUCAACCCCGGGCCUGCAUUCGAUACUGGGUGGCUAGAGGCAGGCAGGGGAGAGUGGAAUUCCUGGUGUAGCGGUGAAAUGCGCAGAUAUCAGGAGGAACACCGGUGGCGAAGGCGGCCUGCUGGGCAGUAGCUGACACUGAGGCGCGACAGCGUGGGGAGCAAACAGG